rnacentral:rRNA from 1 species
CCUGAGAAACCCAAAAGAUCGAAUGGGGAGAUUCAUCGUCAGCGAUUUUGGUACGUGUGCGGCUCGCGAUGCCGGAGACUUCGGUUUCCAGGCACGCGUCCGCAUGUUUUUUAUUGCCUUAAACGUCGGCGUGCACUUCUCCCCUAGUAGGACGUCGCGACCCGUUGGGUGUCGGUCUACGGCCCGGGUGGUAGCCUGUCUCGUGUUCGCUUCGCGGCGUUACGCGGUUCAGACCCCCGGAUGCCCGACCGGCUGCUCGGCGGUACUCGCACGGUAUCUGGCCGCAAAUAUUCGAACUGCGUCCGGCCCGUCGCAAGCGAGGAAAGUGUUUCCCGGCUGUGCGGAUCUAAUGCCGUCACCGGGCCUUGCCAGCUGUUGGUUGACGGUGUCCUAGGACUGGCCAAUACAAUUAUGAUACCGGUCGGCGACGCUACUGCUUUGGGUACUUUCAGGA